rnacentral:rRNA from 1 species
AACGAACGCUGGCGGCAGGCUUAACACAUGCAAGUCGAACGCCCCGCAAGGGGAGUGGCAGACGGGUGAGUAACGCGUGGGAAUCUACCCAAUUCUACGGAAAAACCCAGGGAAACUUGGACUAAUACCGUAUACGCCCUACGGGGGAAAGAUUUAUCGGAAUUGGAUGAGCCCGCGUAAGAUUAGCUAGUUGGUGGGGUAAUGGCCUACCAAGGCGACGAUCUUUAGCUGGUCUGAGAGGAUGAUCAGCCACACUGGGACUGAGACACGGCCCAGACUCCUACGGGAGGCAGCAGUGGGGAAUAUUGGACAAUGGGCGCAAGCCUGAUCCAGCCAUGCCGCGUGAGUGAUGAAGGCCUUAGGGUUGUAAAGCUCUUUCAGUGGGGAAGAUAAUGACGGUACCCACAGAAGAAGCCCCGGCUAACUUCGUGCCAGCAGCCGCAGUAA